CACAUGGCUAAGAAACUGAAUUUUAGUUAUUAUAGCUGCAAUUACAACAAAAGAUGCUAGAGCGAUUAAUAUCACGUCAAUCAUUUGGACUAUUAUGUGAAAAACUUUUAUAUGAAUGAACUCUUAUUGGAUAGUAUUAAGGGUCCUGUUGAGCUGAGAAACGUUUAUUGGAAACUCGGAAUAAUAAACUAACCUGGUCCACCAAUGGCAAUCCAUGCUUGGUACAUUUUUAAAAUGUUUACCGAUCUCCCACCACCUAUGUUGCUUUCAAUGACAUGGGCACUUAAAUGAGUUGUACUUGGACCUAAAUCUGCUAGCAGAAAAAACUAGAAAGAAAAUUUUCAAAGGAAUUUAAUGUGAGGAACUAAAAAUACUGCACUUUAUCUCAUUGAAAUAAAAUGGAGGUCAGAGGAUGUGCGGAAUGAGUUUUGGUUCCUGUCACAUUUCUUUCCAACAUCUACUUUGUUAACUGGAGUACAUUUGAUUACUUUGGUAAUUCCCAAAGUUUUAUGCAUCAAGAGGCUGAAGGACUGCAGAAAUGAAGAAUUCUUCCUACCCUUGUGGCCUGUGCUAAAAUGAAGCACAACUGUAGUGUGUAUUUCUUCAAAGAACGAUAAAUACUUAUUACCUGCAACAAUGUUUAUAAUGACAUUUUCAUAAAACUUUGAAGUCUAGCAUUGUCAAUUGAUUCGUAGGUUGAAAUUCGGCUUAACGCGUAUUCUACAGUUAAGUACUGACAGGUGACAUGUAUAAAGUUGAAUUUAUGUGUGGUGAUGACACAAACUUAUGGAGAUUUGCUGGCAAAAAGUUGAUUCCUUCAACAGAAGUGAUUUUAAAACUCUCUGCUGCCAGUGUAUUUUUGUACCUCUUUCUGUUAAGGAACAACCAAUCUUAAUGUUGUUCUUUGAUGGAUCUGGAUUAUUGGCGAUAUUGAGAAGUAAUCCGUAACUUUCCCGUGCAUCACUUGCUGCAUCGCUAUUACGGCCAGUAAUGCAAUCCGACACCUGGAGCCAUGUACCAAGAAAUACGAAAGUCAUGUCCAUCAGCUCAAUCUUCCAAACCUAAAAAAGCCGAUGAUGUUAUGUGACUAAGCAAUCCAAGUAGCCGAAGAUGCUGCAAGCUACUUUAUCUUGUGUCCGGAGCAUUGUUAGGUCAAUGACACUGACGUAUGCGGAUAUCCUUAAGUACGGGAAUCCGGCGCCCGCUCGGACGUGAUAAGAUUGUGCUCAUGCUGGUAAGCGGCGGAAUGGAUUCCGCCGUUUGUGCUGUCCUUCUACAUAAAGCACUCCUACAGGGUGACGACUCUUCGAGAGUGCAGGCCAUCCAUAUCGAUAACGGUUUCCUGCGUAAAGACGAAUCCGAGCAGGUCGUCACUAGUUUACAGCAACUUGGGCUCAAUCUUCGGACAGUGGCUUCUCAUUUCUUCUUCAUACCAGCGAUCAGAUUUGAUAUUUCGAAUUGUUUUAGGUUGUUGAAGUAAGUUUGACUUUCCGUGAUGCCUCCACCAACGUGCAUGGUCGCCAAACUUUGUCGUUGGGAUUGACAGUAAAGACUUAUCAUAACGAUUCCGAAAUUGUUCAUCAGUUGCGCCUUCACGGCCGUGUAGUAGAACCUCUGGAAGACUUCCAUAAAGAUGAAGUAAGAGCCUUAUCCGGAUUGCUUGAUUGGCUACCAGGUAAAUUCCAUCCGGCUCGUUGGUCUAGGGGUAUGAUUCUCGCUUUGGGUGCGAGAGGUCCCGGGUUCAAAUCCCGGACGAGCCCAUCAAGUAAUGUAAUAUUUUAAUUUAAAAUUUGUAAAUCCUCCUGCUAUCCGGAUCGCUUGAUCGGCUUCCCAGUAUGUUUUAUCAGGCUCGUUGGUCUAGGGGUAUGAUUCUCGCUUUGGGUGCGAGAGGUCCCGGGUUCAAAUCCCGGACGAGCCCUUAAGUUUGUUUUAAAUCUAAAAAAUUCUUUAUUUGGCAAAUCCACCUGCUAUCCGGAUUGCUUAAUUGGCUACCUGAAAGGUUUCAUCCGGCUCGUUGGUCUAGGGGUAUGAUUCUCGCUUCGGGUGCGAGAGGUCCCGGGUUCAAAUUCCGGACGAGCCCUUGUUCUCACAUGAUAUUUUAAUUUAAGUUUGUAAAUCCACGUUCUAUCCGGAAUUCCGGACUGCUUAAUUAUUACCUGUCUAAGUUUCAUUGGCUCGUUGGUCUAGGAGUAUGAUUCUCGCUUAGGGUGCGAGAGGUCUCGGGUUCAAAUUCCGGACGAGCCCAUGAAGUAAUGUAAUAUUGUAAUUUCAAAUUU